rfam:Myotis lucifugus cont2.7560, whole genome shotgun sequence.
GACGGUUCUCGGGUGACACACUCUGGAAUCGGGCUCCCUCCUCUGUGGUUCUGGGUGUGUCACCCAAGAACCGCA